rnacentral:rRNA from 1 species
GAUGAACGCUGGCGACGUGCCUAAUACAUGCAAGUAGAACGCUGAAGCUUGGUGCUUGCACCGAGCGGAUGAGUUGCGAACGGGUGAGUAACGCGUAGGUAACCUGCCUCUUAGCGGGGGAUAACUAUUGGAAACGAUAGCUAAUACCGCAUAAAAGUCGAUAUCGCAUGAUAUUGAUUUGAAAGGUGCAAUUGCAUCACUAAGAGAUGGACCUGCGUUGUAUUAGCUAGUUGGAGAGGUAACGGCUCACCAAGGCGACGAUACAUAGCCGACCUGGGAGGGUGAUCGGCCACACUGGGACUGAGACACGGCCCAGACUCCUACGGGAGGCAGCAGUAGGGAAUCUUCGGCAAUGGGGGCAACCCUGACCGAGCAACGCCGCGUGAGUGAAGAAGGUUUUCGGAUCGUAAAGCUCUGUUGUAAGAGAAGAACGAGUGUGAGAGUGGAAAGUUCACACUGUGACGGUAACUUACCAGAAAGGGACGGCUAACUACGUG